GGGCCCGUGGUCCAGUGGCUACGACGUCGCCUUCACGAGGCGAAGAUCGGGAGUUCGAACCUCCCCGGGCCCA
rfam:Candidate divison MSBL1 archaeon SCGC-AAA259D14 AAA259D14_Contig_5, whole genome shotgun sequence.